GGUUUUCUAAGUUUGCACAUGAUUUGUAUAAAAAUCGGCACAAAUUUUCAUUUCAGGAGUUUAUUUCUCGCCUUUAUAACUCUGCUAAAGUAUAUUGGAUUAACACGGAAAAAAAUUGGGAAGAAAAUCUUGGUCAGUUUAUUUACGAUUUUUUUCUUUUGAGCUUUCCCGAUCUUUUAACUAAGUUUUCAAACGAUGAAAUUGAUGCAGAUGAGUUUUAUAUUUUCUAGUAAUUUUAGACUUUUAUUUCAACUUUUGCUGUAUUUUGAAGUAAAAACACUCCAGAAUGACGAAAUUGUCAAUUUUUCAGUUUUUCAAGUUUGUUUUACGAUUUAAAAAAGAUUGAAUCGUUGCUAAAGCAGGUUACUUUUAAAGCCGGACCUCCGAAAGUCGCCAAGUAUAUAAAGACUUUAUAUUACAUGUAUUAUGAUGUACUCCCCACUUUUGUUGAAGAAAUUUACGAUUUUUUGAUGGUGGAAUUGCCAGAAAACGAAAGGGAGGAAACUUGUGAUGUUUUUGAAGAUCCGAAUUCUGACGAUACUAAAUCCCUGGUUUCAUUAGAAGUCCCAAAAGACCUUUCCAUCAACGAAAUUCCUCUCCAUCAGAGACCUCGGUUUUCAAGUCAAAUUGGCUAUCGAUUGGAUAAGGCGCCAAAAAUUACUGUUCCAUACUCAAGUGAAGAUUCUUUUCAGACAAAUUUGG